rnacentral:lncRNA from 1 species
GUGGCUCGAUCUUGGCUCACUGCAACCUCCACCUCCCAGGUUCAAGCGAUUCUCCUGCCUCAGCCUCCUAAGUAGCUGGGAUUACAGGUGCCCACCACCACACCUGGCUAAUUUUUGAAGUUUUCGUAGAGACUUUCACCAUGUUGGCCAGGCUGGUCUCGAACUCCUGACCUCAAGUGAUCUUCCUGCCUCGGCCUCCCAGUGUUGGGAUUACAGGCGUGAGCCACUGUGCCCAGCCAUAUUUCAGAUUUACUAGUGAUUGCUUUGAUAAUUACUUUCUUGUGUGUAAAUUUUAAGUAAUGUUACUUUUUUUCUGUUUCUGUGAAUUAUAGUAAAUAAUUGAUCAAUUAAACAUUUAUUUACUUUUCUUUGUGCCAGGGAUUGUACUAUGAAUAUGACACAUGCCUUCAAAAAAUAGAUACAUAAACAAAUGGUAGCAGUACAACAAUAUGAGUGCUACAUAGUAUUAUGCACACGCUGCUGUGGAAACACAGAGGAAGCAAAGCCUCUCUAAUUCUGUGAGGUAGAGUGGAGGUUGGAAUACUGAGGCAUUAUUAGGGAAGGCUUCUCAGAGCAGUUCUGGAGACCAAGAGUCCAAAAUCAAGGUGUUGGUAAGGCUGCACUGCCUCCAGAAGCUCGAAGGGAAGACGAGGUUCCUUGUGUCUUCCAGGUGUUCCUUGGCUUUCUUGACUUGUGGCCACUUUACUCCGAUCUCUGCCUUCAUCUUUACAUUGCCUUUGACUCCGUGUGUGUCUUCUGUGUGUUUCUUUUAAAGACAGUUGUUGUUAAAUUUAGGGCCUACUUGGGUAAUCCAGGAUGAUCUCAUCUCAAGAUUCUAAUUUAAUUAUAUCUGAAAAGACAUUUUUCCAAAUAAGUUAACAUUCUGAGGUCCCAGAAACUUGGAGGUGAACAUAUCUUUUUGGGGCCAUCACUAAACCCACUUCACAGGCCAUGUAGUUACUGAGUUGAAACUACUCAGUACAGUAGCGCUAAAGCAGCCAUAGACAAUACAUACAUGAAAGAGUGUGACUAUGUUCCAAAAAACUUUUAUGGCCUGGCUUUCAUCUACAAGCUAUAGUUUGUUGAUUCCUAAUGGCAGUAUAGAGGAAAAAUUGGAAGACAGCAAAUGAAGGCAGUUAAACAAGUUAGGAGGGAAUUAUAAUGGUAGCCAUUAAGGAUGAGGAAGAUUAGAAUAAGACAAUGGCAAUAGAGGAGAGGGAAAGGAAUUGAGAGUUAGUGAAUAGAAUCAACAAGAGUGGGUGAUAGAUUGCAGGGGAUGGAUAAUUAAAGUUCAUUAGAGAGGUGGGAAUUAUGAGUCACAUAGUGGAUCAACACUUCCAGCUUUUCAAAAGUACAACUUGAGACUCUCUACUUCCAUUGCUUGAGAAAUAUUAUCAAGACAAGUUUGUGUAACCCACACAGAUGAGUACUGAAAAAUAGAAGGGUUCAAAAAAUGUUAAGAUAUUUUAUUGUAUAGCCAGACAUAUAGUGUAAAGGAUAUUUUGAGGUCAGAGAAGACAAUAAUUAGCCAGUUGGUUUAU